AUUGAACGCUGGCGGCAUGCCUUACACAUGCAAGUCGAACGGUAACGGGCCUUCGGGUGCCGACGAGUGGCGAACGGGUGAGUAAUACAUCGGAACGUGCCCGAUCGUGGGGGAUAACGAGGCGAAAGCUUUGCUAAUACCGCAUACGAUCUACGGAUGAAAGCAGGGGACCGCAAGGCCUUGCGCGGACGGAGCGGCCGAUGGCGGAUUAGGUCGUUGGUGGGAUAAAAGCUUACCAAGCCGACGAUCUGUAGCUGGUCUGAGAGGAUGAUCAGCCACACUGGGACUGAGACACGGCCCAGACUCCUACGGGAGGCAGCAGUGGGGAAUUUUGGACAAUGGGCGCAAGCCUGAUCCAGCCAUGCCGCGUGCAGGAUGAAGGCCUUCGGGUUGUAAACUGCUUUUGUACGGAACGAAAAGCCUUCUUUUAAUACAGGAGGGUCAUGACGGUACCGUAAGAAUAAGCACCGGCUAACUACGUG
rnacentral:rRNA from 1 species